rnacentral:rRNA from 1 species
AAAUUGAAGAGUUUGAUCAUGGCUCAGAUUGAACGCUGGCGGCAGGCCUAACACAUGCAAGUCGAACGGUAACAGGAAGAAGCUUGCUUCUUUGCUGACGAGUGGCGGACGGGUGAGUAAUGUCUGGGAAACUGCCUGAUGGAGGGGGAUAACUACUGGAAACGGUAGCUAAUACCGCAUAACGUCGCAAGACCAAAGAGGGGGACCUUCGGGCCUCUUGCCAUCGGAUGUGCCCAGAUGGGAUUAGCUAGUAGGUGGGGUAACGGCUCACCUAGGCGACGAUCCCUAGCUGGUCUGAGAGGAUGACCAGCCACACUGGAACUGAGACACGGUCCAGACUCCUACGGGAGGCAGCAGUGGGGAAUAUUGCACAAUGGGCGCAAGCCUGAUGCAGCCAUGCCGCGUGUAUGAAGAAGGCCUUCGGGUUGUAAAGUACUUUCAGCGGGGAGGAAGGGAGUAAAGUUAAUACCUUUGCUCAUUGACGUUACCCGCAGAAGAAGCACCGGCUAACUCCGUGCCAGCAGCCGCGGUAAUACGGAGGGUGCAAGCGUUAAUCGGAAUUACUGGGCGUAAAGCGCACGCAGGCGGUUUGUUAAGUCAGAUGUGAAAUCCCCGGGCUCAACCUGGGAACUGCAUCUGAUACUGGCAAGCUUGAGUCUCGUAGAGGGGGGUAGAAUUCCAGGUGUAGCGGUGAAAUGCGUAGAGAUCUGGAGGAAUACCGGUGGCGAAGGCGGCCCCCUGGACGAAGACUGACGCUCAGGUGCGAAAGCGUGGGGAGCAAACAGGAUUAGAUACCCUGGUAGUCCACGCCGUAAACGAUGUCGACUUGGAGGUUGUGCCCUUGAGGCGUGGCUUCCGGAGCUAACGCGUUAAGUCGACCGCCUGGGGAGUACGGCCGCAAGGUUAAAACUCAAAUGAAUUGACGGGGGCCCGCACAAGCGGUGGAGCAUGUGGUUUAAUUCGAUGCAACGCGAAGAACCUUACCUGGUCUUGACAUCCACGGAAGUUUUCAGAGAUGAGAAUGUGCCUUCGGGAACCGUGAGACAGGUGCUGCAUGGCUGUCGUCAGCUCGUGUUGUGAAAUGUUGGGUUAAGUCCCGCAACGAGCGCAACCCUUAUCCUUUGUUGCCAGCGGUCCGGCCGGGAACUCAAAGGAGACUGCCAGUGAUAAACUGGAGGAAGGUGGGGAUGACGUCAAGUCAUCAUGGCCCUUACGACCAGGGCUACACACGUGCUACAAUGGCGCAUACAAAGAGAAGCGACCUCGCGAGAGCAAGCGGACCUCAUAAAGUGCGUCGUAGUCCGGAUUGGAGUCUGCAACUCGACUCCAUGAAGUCGGAAUCGCUAGUAAUCGUGGAUCAGAAUGCCACGGUGAAUACGUUCCCGGGCCUUGUACACACCGCCCGUCACACCAUGGGAGUGGGUUGCAAAAGAAGUAGGUAGCUUAACCUUCUGGAGGGCGCUUACCACUUUGUGAUUCAUGACUGGGGUGAAGUCGUAACAAGGUAACCGUAGGGGAACCUGCGGUUGGAUCACCUCCUUACCUUAAAGAAGC